GUCUUUUUGAAUUUUAUAUAAAGUCUAACCUGCCCAUUGAAUAUUUUAAAAGGCUGCGGUAUUUUGACCGUACAAAGGUAGCAUAGUCAUUAGUUUCUUAAUUGGGAACUUGUAUGAAUGGUUGAAUGAAACAUUAACUUUUUUUAAAAAAGCAUUGAAUUUUACUUUUUAAUUAAAAGGUUAAAAUGUAUUUAAAAGACGAGAAGACCCUAUAGAGUUUUAUAAUUUACUUUUUAUUAUUAAAUAAGGUUAUUUAUUUUAUUAUUAUUUAAAUUAUUUUAUUGGGGUGAUAGUAAAAUUUAAUUAACUUUUAUUUAUAUAAAUACAUUAAUAUAUGAGACGUUGAUCCGGUUUUACUGAUUAUAAAUUUAAAUUACCUUAGGGAUAACAGCGUAAUUUUUUUUUAAGUUCAUAUUAAUAAAAAAUUUUGCGACCUCGAUGUUGGAUUAAGAUUUUAUUUUAGGUGCAGCAGUUUAAAAUUAAAGUCUGUUCGACUUUUAAAUUCUU
rnacentral:rRNA from 1 species